CAAGUCGAACGGAAAGGCCCCUUCGGGGGUACUCGAGUGGCGAACGGGUGAGUAACACGUGGGCAAUCUGCCCUGCACUUCGGGAUAAGCCUGGGAAACUGGGUCUAAUACCGGAUAGGACCUUUAGGCGCAUGUCUUUAGGUGGAAAGCUUUUGCGGUGUGGGAUGGGCCCGCGGCCUAUCAGCUUGUUGGUGGGGUGAUGGCCUACCAAGGCGACGACGGGUAGCCGGCCUGAGAGGGUGUCCGGCCGCACUGGGACUGAGAUACGGCCCAGACUCCUACGGGAGGCAGCAGUGGGGAAUAUUGCACAAUGGGCGCAAGCCUGAUGCAGCGACGCCGCGUGGGGGAUGACGGCCUUCGGGUUGUAAACCUCUUUCACCAUCGACGAAGGUCCGGGUUUUCUCGGAUUGACGGUAGGUGGAGAAGAAGCACCGGCCAACUACGUGCCAGCAGCCGCGGUAAUACGUAGGGUGCGAGCGUUGUCCGGAAUUACUGGGCGUAAAGAGCUCGUAGGUGGUUUGUCGCGUUGUUCGUGAAAUCUCACGGCUUAACUGUGAGCGUGCGGGCGAUACGGGCAGACUAGAGUACUGCAGGGGAGACUGGAAUUCCUGGUGUAGCGGUGGAAUGCGCAGAUAUCAGGAGGAACACCGGUGGCGAAGGCGGGUCUCUGGGCAGUAACUGACGCUGAGGAGCGAAAGCGUGGGGAGCGAACAGGAUUAGAUACCCUGGUAGUCCACGCCGUAAACGGUGGGUACUAGGUGUGGGUUUCCUUCCUUGGGAUCCGUGCCGUAGCUAA
rnacentral:rRNA from 1 species